AUUGCAAAGUUAUCGGGAGGUGCCCCAAAGUUGUGAUUGUUCUGGUUAAAUAUAUGCCUGUUGUCAGAUGCAAACUCCCCACUGUCCUGACUGUUGCUGUCUUCAGAUGGAGGAACAAUUUCCAUUUGACCUGUGGUUGGAGCCAUCCACUGCUGAUCUGGAGGAGGGUGAGGGGGUUGGUGAGGCAUUCCCCAUUCUGGCUGCCACAUUCUGUUGAAGUUGGGAUCCCCC
rnacentral:lncRNA from 1 species